rnacentral:lncRNA from 1 species
GAACAGUUGCACCAGCAACCGCAAAGUUUGCUCCAUUUUCGAAGCUUGCAUUGGCAUUCUUGUAGGGAUCAAGAAACGAAAGACCAGCUGCCCAUGUUGUGAAAUUAUGAUUUAAUUUGAAAUAAUUAAUAAUUGUAAAAUCAAAUUAUGUUUUAUACUGUACUUAUUAUGUAUAAUAGGUCCAAAGGAAAAAUGGACAAAUCAACUAUCAACUAUAUAAUUAAAAGCACAAACUUGGUUUGGUUUCAUCAAUUUUUGGUUCAAUUUUCCUAAUUCAUAUUAGCAUAAGUAUUAUCCAAAUUUUUACCAAUUAAGUAUUAUUCAAAUUAAAAAAAAUAUUCCUAGCUCUAAGAGGAGUAGAAAAAAGAAGAUAUUUUUCUUUCCUAUUCAAAUUAGUAUAAGUAUUAUACAAAUUUGAAUAAUUACUAUAUGUUAUCCAUAAAUAUUAAUUACUACAUGUGUUCAUUUUAAUAGUUUUUAGUUUAUAUAUCAUAAUGAAUUUAUAUAGGAUAUUUUUAUUGCUACAAUUUUGUUAAAAUAUUUAAAUGUCAAACAUACCUCUUAACGUAUUGCGUGAUUUAAUUAUAUUAAUAUUAAUCGUGAAAUUUAUUAUUAAAUUAAUAUUAUCCUAACUAAUUUAAUUCAUUAAAGCUUGAAACACUACAAAAAAAAAUUGCCACUAGCGACCAAAUGUAUGAGCGAUCGCACGAAUUCAUCACUAAUUCCAUUAAGAGCGACCAACUUCUGCGACACUACAAGAAAACAAGCUAAGCCUGACGGAAUUAUUUUCAACAGACUAAAUUGUAUCAAAAUUAGCUUAUUGCUGACAUAAUAUUCCAGUGAGAACAAUUCCCAGGGAAAUAAAUUAAUUUUGACGGAUAUCCGUCGAAAAUAGUACUCGCCAAGGGCGUGAACAUUUCCUGCCAACACGCAGUUUAAUGUCGACGGAAGUAUCCUUAUAUUCACGGAACAUCUGUUGUAAAUAAAAUAUUUCAGAGGGAUUUAAAUUCGACGGAAUUUCGUCGAAAAUAAAUCUAAUUUAAACCCUAUAUUUUAUUUCUUCUUCUUCGGUCGCUUGAGUUUGGACCGCUUGAGCCUAGACCUCUCUCUUUGAUUCAGCAAGAAAGAACAUCUCUUUCUCUCUCUCCGAUUUAGCAGAAAUCAUCCUCUCUCUCUCUCUCUUUCUCUCUUCGCAUCUCUGCAAUAUUCCUUUUCGGCCACAACCCAUCUGUAACGAUCGAGAUCGUAGAGUAUCCUUGUAAUUAGGGUUAUUGAAUAUUUGUUGAAUAAAAUGAAUAUUUGAUGGAAUGAAUUGUGUAUUAUGUGUUUAUAGGUCGAUUAAUGACCUAGUUUACAUGUUACGUGACUAUGUACGAGUGUUGGGAGUUUUUGAGAGAAAUUAAUUUUUUCUGAGAAAAACGCUAAAACACUACUUAUAAAAUGUAGAAAACGCUAAUAAACGUUUAUUUUGAAAAUUUUGAAUUGCAUCAUAGAAUUUAUUUGGAAAAGAGAUGAAAUCUCUAAUAAAAAAAAAUUCAAGAAAAAAAGAAGUAAAAUAUUAUUCACGAUAAAAACGUAACUUCGUUUUUCGACUUUUCGAAUAACGACAUAGCGUUUGUUCGGGAAAUGGGGAUUGGUGGAGAAAUUGGAUUUUCCAAAAUCGAAAGUAGGUUUUUUGGCUAAUUGAGCGUAUUACGAAAACGUAACCGAAAAAUUUAGAAAAUCUAAAUAAAAAGAAAAUGAGAAAUCAAAUUAAUUUUUCUUUUAACCAAGCAUAAGGAUUAUUUGCUUGGUUAGGAAUUGAAAAUAGUUUGGCUAAGGUUGGGUCAAGGGUUUGGAGUGGCUUAGCUAAGGUUAAGCAAAGGAUGAGCUAGAGUUAAACCCUAGAUGCUUAAAGCCAAAGAGUGGAGCCAAAGAGUGGAGCCAUGGCUUAUCUUGGAGCCAAGUAUUGGAGGGUCAAAUGACUAUUAUACCCCAUUUCUUGCCAAUCCUUUAAAUAGAGCCCAUUUUCUCUACAUUUCUAAUCAAUUCACCAAAUUAAAGAGGGAAAUCUAUGGAGAAAUAUAUAUAUAGGAAGCCCAGAUUGGCAAGGAGCAAGAAGGAAGAGGAAUAUCAAUUAAGCUUUGAUCAUUCAUUAGCAACUAAGAAGAAUAUCUUAAAGAGGUAAUCCAUGAACUCUAACCAUCUUUCAUCUCUUUUGAGUUUGAUUCUAGUUUUGAUGGUGGUUGUUGUUGUGAUUUGAUGGAGGAUCGUGAUGGAUCCAAUGGUAUUAGGGUGGUUUUAUGUCUAAACUAUAGGUUAAGAUGCAUGAAAAGUGAAAUGAAAAUUAAAAAUGUAAUUUUAUGCAUAAAUGAUAAAAAAAAACUAUGUAGAGAACUCUAAUUGGAGUCGAAUAAAUUAUUUUAUGUAUGGAGUUUAUUAAUUUCGUAAAGAUGGAAUCAUAGAUAUGUAGGUUGUUAAGAUAUUCCAAGUGGAACAGAUUAAAAAUACGCCAUAACAAAGUUAUGGCAAAAAUUUCUGUAAAAGGUGUUAAGUAUGAAUAAUCCUAGCUUGGUACCCUUUUCGGACCAAGUUUACGGGUAUUUAACGCUUUCGGAAAGUUAUUUCUUUCUGGGGGUUUUUUAGUUAGUUGAAAACGUGAGUCGUAGGCUCAAGAACGAGCUCAAUCCGACUUUGGAUGAGCGAGUUGUGAAGUUUAGGAAAUCCAACGUUGAAACGUCUUUCGGAUAAAAAUGGCUCUCGGGGGACUUUUGAGCCAAUUUUUCGACGAGUUAGAGAACCCCAAAAAUUAUUUCGUCUGAGGUUAUGUGUAGAUGAUCUUACAAGCAAGAUGAUGGCUCAAAAAUGAACUCAUUCCGAUAUCGGAUGAUGAAGUUAUGAAAGUACGAAGUAGGUGCAAUGAAAGAAAAAACAUAAUAAAAUUAAAUUAAAUACUAUAAUAUAAUAUAAUACAAAAAGAAAAAACAUAAUAAAAUUAAAUUAAUUAAAUAAUUAAUAAUUUAAUUUAAAAUAAAAUAAAAUAAAUUAGUUUAAAUGAAUUAAUUUAAUUACAUAAAUUAAUUUUGUAUAAAUAAAAUUAUAUUAAUGAAUUAAAAUUAAUAAAAUAAAUAGUAGUUUAAAAUUAAUUAAACUAAAAUAAAGUAUUAUAAUAUAUUAUACUACUUGGAACUAAGUAGCAUUAAUUACUUAGUUCUACUACUACAUAAAAUGAAGUCUCAAUAUUAUUAUAUAUUCAAAUAAAUAGUUUUCAUAAACUACGUACGUAGCAUUUACUUAGUUUCUCAUUGGUAAAAUAAACUAAGUAGCAUUAGUUUAGUUUGCCACAAAUAAAAUAAACUGCAUAUAUACGUGUGCAUGUAGUAUAUAUAGUUUGGACCUUAGAAACCCGUUUAACAUUCAUUUAUUAGGAGUGAAUGUAAAAUAAUCUAUAGUCUGGGACUGUUACUGGAUGUUAUGUUUCACUUGGGCCGAUGUCAAUGGCUUGAGUACGUUUUUUUGUUUUGAGAAUUUUUUGACUGUUAUCUCUACAUGUUCUUUGAGUGAAUACUUAGAUUAAGAUAUCUUAAUCUAUUUUGUGUACUUGGAUACCAUGGGGAGGUGUGUCAAAAUUUUCUUUAAACAGAAGAAGCGUGGUCAAGGUGUUGGCACUAGUGAAGAGACGCAUCUAGGAACGGGAUAGAAGACUAACCCCUGUACAGUGCAGAUAUUAGGAAAAUAGAAUUCAUUAAUGGACCACAUAUAUAAAUAGCCAUGUUCUGAAUGUUUCUUUUGCUCAGUUAAAGAUAUCAGCCGACCGGAGUUAGAUGUAGCGUAGGAUACCGUUGGAUAGGAGGGGAUUAGUAAAUGUUUACCGUGAUGCGGUGUGUAACUUUUUGAACAAAGCAAUAGAACAUGCUGAAGAUCCGAACGAAAAGAUCAAAUACCCAUGUGUCAAGUAUAAAAACCUGAUCUGGAAGAAAGUCGAAGAUAUUAAAUUCGACUUAUUUUCACGUGGGUUUGUAGAUAGGUAUUCUGUAUGGAUUCAUCAUGGGGAAUCAGCUGAGUUGAGGGAACUAAUCGAUAGUGUAGACCAACUAGUUCACGAGGAUUCACACGUCGAUAACUAUAACGUCGUUGAGAUUUUGGUCGAUGCUUAUGGCUCUGACAAUAUAAAUUGAGCUAAAAAUGAGCAUUCAUCAACCAGUGCUCAUCAAUAGUCAAAUGAUUUAGCUGAAGCCUUUUAAAAGAUGACAUCUGAAUUGGGGGUCCCAUUUUAUUCUAGACAUGAUAAGCACAACAAGUUAUUUGCAGUGACAAAACUUUUACACUUCAAGAAUGAGUAUGAUUGCAGUGAGAGAUGUUUCAAUGAUUCGCUUGCUCUUUUUAGUGAGUUCUUACAUAAGGAUCAUACCAUGCCCGCAAAAUAUUAUGAAGUGAAGAAGACGGUAAAGGGUUUGAAUAUGGGGUAUUAGAAGAUCGAUGCAUAUGAGUAUUAUUGUAAUGACCCCAAAAUCAGGACUAUUCUCACUCCUGAUCUUGAGCGUUAACAAUACAAUCACUUUCUAACUCUAUAUCAUUAAGCAAUGUUAUAAUUGAUAUAACUUGAAGAUUACAAACUUCUUACAAUACUUAAGCUCAAUAUAGUUAUUAAAACUCACUUAUUUAAAACUUUUCUCGUAAUUUAAUAAAAACCAUAAGUUUCAAAAUCUUCUUAUCGUUCUGUCUAUUCCUGAAAUCACAACCUUUAGCAUCUAUACAUAUAAUCAAGAUCUUAUGCAUACUAGGAUCCAUUCCAAAAUGUUAUAUGUGGACAUAAAGUUUAAUGUCUAACUUUAGUUAUUCCUUGAAUAUUCGCAAUGUAAUUCAACAACUAUAUAUUCACUAUACAUCAUCUUUUACACACACCAUUGCCAUUAUAUUAGUCCACUUUACAAAGUAAUUAUAAAGUUACAUAUCGUAUUCAAACGAAUACUUUUACUUAUCAUUUAUUUAUUGAGUAUAUUAAAAUUGGUACAAUUCAAUAUGAUUACAUUACAACAAGUAGUGUUGGUUUGGCAUAAGUUAAUUUCAAUGAAAUGAUAAACCUUUUCUAAUCAUGUCGCGUUUCAAAACUUCAUUUCUAUAUCCCUUUGAUAAAUAAACUUUCAUCUGCAAAUUUUAUAUUUUGCAAGGUUGAGCACGACAACCUAACAAGUCUAGCAGUUUUUAUGGUUCACGAAGCAUAUAAACUCACAUUUAAUUCAUGUAACAUGUUCCUCAUGCUCUACCUCAUAUACAUGCAUCAUAAAUCUUAUGCAAUGCGUCUACAUAUGCAUCAUACAUCUCAUAGCAUGCGCUUUUUAUUUGCAUCAUAUAUCCCAUAUUGUAUAUUUUCAGAGUUUCAGGUUCCAUAUAGAACAAUAUAAUCACAUUAUUGCACAAUGUGCAUACCUUGAUCAUACUCACAAAUAAUUCACAUAAGAUUGAGAAAUUGGCACAUAUCUAAGAAACAAAAUCAUGCAUAUCAUCAUAUUCAAACAAGUCAACAAGUUACUAAAAAAACUUGCCUUAUAUUCUCUUUUACCGGCUAUAGCUUUUCGAACAACCAACAUAUAUCAUUAAGGUUGAACAUACCAAUUAGUCACUUAAUUACACUAAAAUUGGUUCACGUUAUAUUAUUUCUUAUUUCAUAUUUUCCGCACAUUAUAGUUUAAUUAACACGAUCAAUUUCAAAACAUCUCGCGGUGUCGCGGCGUUCAGGAACGUCACAACCCUAACAAUCAUCCCUCUUUAUUGGUUUACAUUAACCCUUUCAAUAUCUUAAAAUUUUAGUUUUUUUUAAUCAAAACGAUUUUUAAGUUCAUUUACACUUGACACGGAUUUUCAACGUUUAUACGUCACAAGCCCUAUUCGCUUAUGCAAACAUUCAAGUGGCGUAUACUUUGCAUGCUUAUACAACUUGUCUAAUACCUAAUUGAUUAAUGUUAAACAUCUUUACAUUUCAUUAUUUUUCGUCUUGUAGAACUUAGAAAAAUGUCUUUUAUUGUUGGAAGCAUUGCACAUUGCAUACACGCCCGCCCGAUGCCCUCCCCUCUGAUUGCCCAACAGUCCCAAAAAUGGACAAUUUUGACCCUACUCCAAGCCUUAUCUGUAAAUUCUUAAAGAAUGAAAGUUGUAUUUCUACUUCUUAGCUUUCAAAAUCAUCUUGAAUCAUCUCAAUAUGAAAAAGUUAUGCCCAUUUUACUAAGGGGUGCUAAAACUGUCCUAUUUUUGCCCAUUUUGGCUUAGCCCAGCCCCUGGCCAGUGCCUCUGCGCUCAACCCAAAAUUCUAGAUUUUUUCUUAUUUUCCUUGAUAAUGUUCCUUUUUUUAUCUCACAACAACACAUCCGAUUGGCUUCAAAUUUUAAUAUGUUCUACAUGAUACUACAUAGUAUUUUAUAAAAAUAUAGCAUGACCAAUUUGGGUUCAUUAAGAUGAUAUUAAAGAGGCUCCAAUAUGCCCCCUCAUCUCAGUUUUUCAUUCAAUUCAAGUUUUUAGAAAUUCUUUAAAACUUGAAUUGAACUUGAUUUGAUUCACUCAAUCAACUUAGUUAACAUCACAACACAUAUAAAGGUUACCUAGCCCCAAACUUUGCUUAAUUUUUUAUUUUUAAGCAUUAAUCCUCUUUUAGGUGUUUUAUCAAACAUCACAAGGGUAAGGUUUUAAAAAACAGAUUUCACAAGUAUUGGUAUGAAGUUCAGCCGUAUAUCUUUAUUACUCCGUACAACAAACACAACACCCCACCUUGCUAAUUCAUACCACCUUGCCAAUUCAUAGCACAACAGAGCAAUACAUACUAUACAAGACAUUAACUAUUUUUAGUUCAUGAAUUUGUAAGCAUAUGCAUAAAUUACCUUCCAAUCAAAGCUUGUUUGAUGCAAUCCAAGGCUUGAUGAAAAAAUCACCUCUUAUUGCGCUAAUGCUUUCAAAUUUUUCCCAAAUUAGAUGCUAAUUUUUUUAUUUGUUCUAGUUCUUUUGGCAUGUUACUAAUUUGAGAGUGAAGGUUUGCUUUAUUUUUCUUCUUUUUCUUUGGUUCGGAUGGAAGGCAGGAGAAGGAGCAAAGGCUGAUUUUUUUGACUUUCUUUUUGGAAUGGAAUGGACUUAAGGAAUGGAUCAUGGCUGGUUUAUUCCCUUUCUUGC